AAGCUAUGAAGAAAAAUGCGCUCUUUGUGACUGUUGGGUCUGUCACACUCGCCUGAUCUUAGGAGUGAUAUGACGCGCAUCUGAGCUC
rnacentral:snoRNA from 9 species